rnacentral:tRNA from 1 species
UCCGGAGUAGCUCAGCUGGCAGAGCGGGUGACUGUUAAUCACUAGGUCGCGGGUUCGAAUCCCACCUCCGGAGCCA